UACGUAGGGUGCGAGCGUUGUCCGGAAUUAUUGGGCGUAAAGGGCUCGUAGGCGGUUUGUCACGUCGGGUGUGAAAGCCCGGGGCUUAACCUCGGGUCUGCAUUCGAUACGGGCUAGCUAGAGUGUGGUAGGGGAAAUCGGAAUUCCUGGUGUAGCGGUGAAAUGCGCAGAUAUCAGGAGGAACACCGGUGGCGAAGGCGGAUCUCUGGGCCAUUACUGACGCUGAGGAGCGAAAGCGUGGGGAGCGAACAGG
rnacentral:rRNA from 1 species